rnacentral:rRNA from 1 species
AGUGAACGCUGGCGGUAGGCCUAACACAUGCAAGUCGAACGGCAGCACAGUAAGAGCUUGCUCUUACGGGUGGCGAGUGGCGGACAGGUGAGGAAUACAUCGGAAUCUACUUUUUCGUGGGGGAUAACGUAGGGAAACUUACGCUAAUACCGCAUACGACCUACGGGUGAAAGCAGGGGAUCUUCGGACCUUGCGCGAUUGAAUGAGCCGAUGUCGGAUUAGCUAGUUGGCGGGGUAAAGGCCCACCAAGGCGACGAUCCGUAGCUGGUCUGAGAGGAUGAUCAGCCACACUGGAACUGAGACACGGUCCAGACUCCUACGGGAGGCAGCAGUGGGGAAUAUUGGACAAUGGGCGCAAGCCUGAUCCAGCCAUACCGCGUGGGUGAAGAAGGCCCUCGGGUUGUAAAGCCCUUUUGUUGGGAAAGAAAAGCAGCAGGUUAAUACCCCGCUGUUCUGACGGUACCCAAAGAAUAAGCACCGGCUAACUUCGUG